GCAGCGAAGUUCAUUUGAGGCGGUGAAAAAGAAACGAUCGUACAUUUGGUUUCUAUCGCGCUAAGGAGCAACUAUUUCCCGUGUACUCGGUACUAGCAGUUCGUGAAGCCUCUAUUAGAAGGCAUUAUUCAGGCUUUUAAAAGUUGUUAAUAUUUCCCAACAGUGCAACGCCGUGACUUAUUUUUAGAGUACAGUACACUGUGAGAAGCACUUCCAUACUUUUAAGGUCAGGUGAUAUGGGUGCCUUAUCUGCACAUGUCAUAUCUGUUUUUAUGGUGACGUUCGUAGUGACGGACCUCUCCGAAGAAUCUGUAGGAGUUAAGGAAGUGCCGCUGCAGCGUGAAACUUGUUACUACAAACGGCAUAAAAUUGAGGAUGGCAAAAGUCUCGCACUCGCUAGACCCUGCUUACAGCUGACGUGCGAAUCCCUGAAUGCGUCAUACGCCAAUGUGUUUAUUGCUGGCUGCGGCGCCGUGGAGAUAGACAAGGAGGAUUCAGAACGUUGCAAGAUAAGAAAGCCGAGAGGGCGAAGACCUUAUCCCCACUGCUGUCCCAGAAUUGUUUGUAGGAGGAUAAGACCCAAAGGCGACAUGAAGGCCGAAUGAUACGGCCGCAAGGCUAGAUCGGCCUGAAACCCACGACAUCCUCCCGCUCUGAUCUUUCUGCCUAGUAAUUGUUGUCCGCAUG
rnacentral:lncRNA from 1 species